rnacentral:rRNA from 1 species
UACGGAGGGUGCAAGCGUUAUCCGGAUUCACUGGGUUUAAAGGGUGCGUAGGCGGGCAGUUAAGUCAGUGGUGAAAUCCUUGAGCUCAACUCGAGAACUGCCAUUGAUACUAUCUGUCUUGAAUAUUGUGGAGGUAAGCGGAAUAUGUCAUGUAGCGGUGAAAAUGCUUAGAUAUGACAUAGAACACCUAUUGCGAAGGCAGCUUACUACGCAUAUAUUGACGCUGAGGCACGAAAGCGUGGGGAUCAAACAGG